UCGAUGUGGAUGUUUAAUCGAGUGUACGCUGUGCCGAGAGAAAAUGUCGUGCCCCUUGUGUGCUUUGAUGAUCACCUAACCCCUGGGACCGCGUAACGUAGCUCGCAGUACCUUUCGCGUGGUUCGCCGAUGUCGAUUAUCGUAGUUAUGGCCCGCUUGCGCUUUCUUUGUUCCCGGCCUCUGAUAAUAUCGCAUCGGAUCACAGUGCACGGAAGAAUUUGUUGAGCUAUUACGUGCUGUAGUUCAUCCGCAAUUCAACAGUGUUUACGUCGGAAGGAUCGUCGUGCAGUCGACGCCGCGACCUGACAGGAGCGUUUGCCGACUACGCCUAGAAAGGGAUGUCAAGAUUUCGUGAACCAGAGGCAUCUCUACACCGCAUAGGAACCUAAGACAUUUCUGCAGCCGGAACAGCACGGCAAAUCAUCUGAUCUGCAUGCUGCGACAAGGUAUGGCUCGGCCUGGUGAUGAAGUGUAAGCAGAACAUGCUAUGCUGCGAAUUGGUGCCAAUCUUCACAUCCGAGUUGUUCCCACGACAGUCAAGCACUACUGUGAUUUGCUUCAUUGGCAAGGUGCCCUGCAAGCUCUCACCAAAGCAACACAUUCCACUGGUUUUCUGUCAGAGUACCAUUGUAGAAUUUCGAAUAAACUAUGCUUGUCAGAUGUGCGACAUGCCCCGUCUUAAAAUCAGAGCGCUUCAGUAAUAAUGUUUGAAUGGGUGUACAUAAAAACACACGUAAAGUAUACUUAUGUCUUUCUUUUACAAGUCCUCUUCACCCGACGUUUUUCCAACUUAAAAUUACGCUUUGCUGUACAUUUGUUUUAUGCACAAACCAUUACAGCAACACAACACUGCAGUAAAAUGAGUACAAAUGAUAAAGCAUGCAGUACACCUGCAAGAAUUACAUUUGCAUACUUGUAGUACAUAUGAAAAUGAGCUACCGAUCUUUUUCAGGUUGCAUACUCUUAUAGGUUAUACAUGUCAAGCGCACUCAUAGGUCACACAAAACUCGUUCAAGGCUGAUCUCAAAUCCAUAAGUGCACCAAAUAGAUUUAAAGAGUGACUUAUGUUAAGUGACAUCGGACCAGUCUAAAGAAACCUGGCUCAAAUAGGGAAAUAAAUAGGUUCGAACAGGGUCAAACGGGGAGUGGACUAAACGGGGACAAACAGGUCUGG